UACAGAGGUCUCAAGCGUUGUUCGGAUUCAUUGGGCGUAAAGGGUGCGUAGGUGGCGUCGUAAGUCAGGUGUGAAAUCUCGGGGCUCAACCCCGAAACUGCACUUGAUACUGCGAUGCUUGAGUAUUGGAGAGGAGAUUGGAAAUUUUACGGUGUAGCAGUGAAAAUGCGUAGAUAUCGUAAGGAAGACCAGUGGCGAAGGCGAAUCUCUGGACAAUUACUGACAC
rnacentral:rRNA from 1 species